CAUUCUCUCAUACCACUCAAAGUGUUGACACCCCACUGUGAGUUAUACUCUCGGGAGGGAUGGCCUGCUCUGGCCACCAGAAGGAUCAGUCAUUGGUGUACUUUUAUAU